AUUGAACGCGGGCGGCGUGCCUAACACAUGCAAGUCGAGCGGUAACGCGGGAGCAAUCCUGGCGACGAGCGGCGAACGGGUGAGUAAUGCUUCGGAAUCUGCCCAAUAGUGGGGAAUAACCAGCCGAGAGGUUGGCUAAUACCGCAUACGCCCUAACGGGGAGAGCAGGGGAUCGUAAGACCUUGCGCUAAUGGAUGAGCCGAAGUCGGAUUAGCUAGUUGGUAGGGUAAUGGCCUACCAAGGCGACAAUCCGUAGCUGGUCUGAGAGGACGACCAGCCACACUGGGACUGAGACACGGCCCAGACUCCUACGGGAGGCAGCAGUGGGGAAUAUUGGACAAUGGGGGAAACCCUGAUCCAGCGACGCCGCGUGUGUGAAGAAGGCCUGCGGGUUGUAAGGCACUUUUAGUGGGGAUGAAAAGCUCAGGGCUAAUACCUCUGGGUCUUGACCUAACCCACAGAAAAAGCACCGGCUAACUCUGUGCCAGCCGCCGCCGUAAUAC
rnacentral:rRNA from 1 species